UAAAAUUCAAUCUACAAUGGACCUCUACUACAUAACCAACUUUUUUUCUAGCAUCCAUAUUUGCUUUUUCUUUUUCUCUUACCUUUUGCUUUUUAAAAUUGCGAUUUCAUGGAUAUAAAUUGUUUUUUUUUUUAAUCUCCAUGUUACAGUGCUCUUAGAUACAAUAUAAAAGACAAAGAGAUAACCAUGAUUCCUGUCAUGGGCUCCCUUGUCAAGUCUGGUAUCCGGACCUUUGUUUACAGGUAAUGUUACAUGAUACAUAUGGGCGCUAUUUUUUUUCAUUAUGAUUCAAAAUAGUGAUAGUAAUACUUAAAAACCUCUACAGUGGAGAUCAAGAUUCAGUAAUCCCACUAUUUGGAACUCGGACUCUGGUGGAUGGAUUGGCGAAGGAGUUGAGACUGAAUACCACUGUGCCUUACAGAAAUUGGUUUGAGGGAGAACAGGUCGGCUUCUAUACAUGAAUAUGAGAUUAACUUCAUAAAUCACUUCAAGUUUCAACUGCUUAAUUAAAGAUCGGAUGAUUCAAAUCUCAUUCAUGAUGGUUUUUCUUCUGUUUUUCUAGGUUGGUGGAUGGACGCAAGUUUAUGGUGACAUCCUAUCCUUUGCCACCGUGAGAGGAGGGUCACAUACAGUGCCGGGUACACAACCAGCCAGAGCACUAGUUCUGUUCACUGCAUUUCUAAAAGGACAACCCCCACCAGCUGAAUGAACGGAUCAAAUUCACGGAUAAGAACUAUAGGUCAUUAUGUAUUACUAGAUAACAGAGGAUGUCUCUUCAUAUUGUGUUCAGAUAUUAAUGCAUUUCCUUUUAGAUUAGAUCAAUGCUCUUCACAUCCUCAUUUUCCAUGCAUUUAGCAGCAUCUCAGGUAUCAGAACGGCAAAUUUGCAUUUAAAAUCCUGUGAUUAUUGUAGAGGACUUCAGUUGGAACACUCGGAUUAGAAUUAGAAGCAGAAUUUUUUCGUAAAGAGAAGGAUAAACUGCUAACUAUAAGCCUAAACCAAACCAUAAAGCUUAUCAGCCCAUAACUAGCACUAUAUGGGGGAUCAAUAUUCCAAGCCUAAAAUUAAUGGCCCAUGCACAACACCUAAUAUCCUAACCAAACAACAGCCUUUUCUUUCCUAGCCCUAAAACCCUUGUUCUUCAAUCUCACGACCACUCUCUUGUUUUCACACCCUUGGAUCUCAACUUCGGGAGGAGACGAUGCAACAUGAAGCAAACCACGAUUUUAUGGCUUUAAGAAUAUGGUGGAAGAAAGCUCUGAUUGGCAGAGAAUAGCAGCACCGACUUGCACUCUUCUAGAGAUUUAGAAAUAGGUUGAAAUUUGAUACACUUCUUAAGAUGUAUUAUGUAAUUUUUUCAGAAAAAAAAAAAUCUUUGGUUGACUUUUUCGAAGAAAAAUUCAAAGCAUAUUAUAUAAUAAAAUGAAUAUUAUACUAAAGAACGAUAGAUUAAUUUGAUUGUUUAAGUUUCUCGAAUUAAUCAACAUUGGUGGUAUCUAUAAGAGAUCGAAGACACCAUCAUCCUAGCUACAUCACACGCCAAAGGUCUCCAUUCAGCUGUCUCUCUCUCUCCAGAGUCCAGAGACGUCUGUCUCAUCAAAGCCCUGAAAUCCCAGUCAUAGAUGGAAUGUUAUACUUAUUAUAAUAAUAGCCACAACAUGUACAACUCCGUUAUGCUCAACAAUGGAGACACUCUGCAAGCCCACGUCAGUUUUCAACAAUUUUCUGGAUAUGUAACCAUAGAUGGAAAGCAACACAGUGCUCUUUUCUAGUAAUUUGUUGAAGCAGAAAAUGACGUGGAGGCGGUUUCACCUUUUCUUCUUGUUAGUUGUUACGGGGAGGAAUAUUUUUUCUAUAUGAAUCUCUAUCAGUUUGUAUUAAAAAAUAGUGUGUUAGAAAGUUGUGUGACUUUGUUUUACGGCCAGCUUAUGAUUCAAAUAUGCAGAAAGCCACAGAGGAUGUAGAUGAUUGCUGCUUGCAUAUACAACAAAACAACGAAGUGACCAAGUGUUUUUAAGCAGGAAAGACGUGCUUAAAGCUUUCUGCAUUAACUAAAAAUAUAAUUUACUUUGAAUCUGUGACUAAAAAUGUUGUUUCAUAGUGAUUUUAUAAAAUAUUUUUAAUAUUUUUGAUAUUUGAAAAUUUUUGUUAUUUAAAUAUUAAAAAUGUUAAAAAUAUUUUUUAAAAUCAGUGUGCAAGUGUAACUCUAAUAAUUAUCACAAUUCAUGGGGAGAAUGGAGAUCAAGAUUCAAUUUUGUCCCACCAUUUGGGAGUCGGACUCAGGUGAGCGAAUUGGCCAAGGAAGCUUCAGGUGCGCGUCGAGCCUCGCUCCAGUGCGCGUCGCGGCGCGCUUCAGGUGCCCGUCGGGGCGCGCUUCAGGGUAAGCUUCAGGGUCAUGUCGAGGCGCGCUCAGGUGAGCGAAUUGGCCUAGGAACGCUUCAGGUGAGCGUCGAGCCUCGCUCCAGUGGGCGUCGCGGCGCGCUUCAGGUGAGCGUCGGGGCGCGCUUCAGGGUCGUGUUGAGGAGCGCUCAGGUGAGCGAAUUGGCCAAGGAAGCUUCAGGUGCGCGUCGAGCCUCGCUCCAGUGCGCGUCGUGGCGCGCUUCAGGUGCGCGUCGGGGCGCGCUUCAGGUCGCUUCGGGGUAAGCUUCAGGGUCUUGUCAAGGCGCGCUCAGGUGAGCGAAUUGGCAAGGAACGCUUCAGGAGCGCGUCGCUGUAAGCUUCAGGGUCGUGUCGAGGCGCGCUCAGGUGAGCGAAUUGGCCAAGAAACGCUUCAGGUGUGCGUCGAGCCUCGCUCCAGUGCGCGUCGCGGCGCGCUUCAGGUGAGCGUCGGGGCGCACUUCAGGGUCGUGUUGAGGAGCGCUCAGGUGAGCGAAUUGGCCAAGGAAGCUUCAGGUGCGCGUCGAGCCAUGCUCCAGUGCGCGUCGAGCCACGCUCCAGUGCGCGUCGAGGCGCGCUUCAGGUGCGCGUCGGGCCGGCUUCAGGUCGCUUCGGGGUAAGCUUCAGGGUCGUGUCGAGGCGCGCUCAGGUGAGCGAAUUGGCCUAGGAACGCUUCAGGUGCGCGUCGAGCCUCGCUCCAGUGCGCGUCGCGGCGCACUUCAGGGUCGUGUUGAGGAGCGCUCAGGUGAGCGAAUUGGCCAAGGAAGCUUCAGGUGCGCGUCGAGCCUCGCUCCAGUGCGCGUCGAGGCGCUCUUCAGGUGCGCGUCGGGGCGGCUUCAGGUCGCUUCGGGGUAAGCUUCAGGGUCGUGUUGAGGAGCGCUCAGGUGAGCGAAUUGGCCAAGGAAGCUUCAGGUGCGCGUCGCGGCGCGCUUCAGGUGCGCGUCGGGGCGCCCUUCAGGUCGCUUCGGGGUAAGCUUCAGGGUCGUGUCGAGGCGCGCUCAGGUGAGCGAAUUGGCUUCAGGUGCGCGUCGAGCCUCGCUCCAGUGCGCGUCGAGGCGCGCUUCAGGUGCGCGUCGGGGCGCGCUUCGGGGUCGUGUCAAGGCGCGCUUCGGGGUCGUGUCAAGGCGCGCUUCAGAGCGAGGCGGCUACCCCGAAAGGGAUACGCGUCAGGGUUCGAGAAUGGAUGAGGCACGCUUCCGGUGCCCGCUUUUCAGACCUGGAGGGUGGACGCGUCAGUCUGAAUGUGGUUGAACAAAAAAUGAAAUGGAUGCAAAGCAAAUUUUACAUUUGUUUUUUUAUAAGAACUAUACAUUUUAUGUAAAGGUUUUAUAUUUUAUGUAAAAUAUAGAAAGUAUAUCCACUUGUCACCUUAGUUUUUCUUCAUUAUAUUAGGUAAUAAAAAAUUUAUGCAAUUAAAUUAUUGAUUUUUUUCACUAGCAAAAAUGUUAUAUGAUUGAAUUAUUAUUAAUCUUUUUAAAAUAGUAAAAAAAUGAAAGUGCGAAACCAUUACUCUUUUUUGUUUAUUAUUAUUAUUUUUUAUUUUUUAUAUGUUUUAAUAUUUACUAAUUAUGAGAAUUAAAAUUUUAAAAGCUUAGGCCCAAUGUCAAAUUGGGAAGCUAAAAUAUUUACUCUAGACUUUUAACUUCAAAAAUUUUGUAAGGGAGAAAAGGUCAUCAUCCCUAUCUAAAUUAAUAUUCUAAUUAAAAUGUUUUUAUUAUGUAAUAAUACUUUUGUAUUUCUAAUAAAAAUGCAUUUAAGAAAAAUUAACUAAAUUAUGUUUAGUUUCCAAAAUAUUGGAAGAGAAAUGUGAAGGAAAUUAAAAAAUAUAUUUAAAGUUAAUAAAUAGUUUUAAGACAUUACUUGAAAGUCAUUUCAUACAUUUUAAUUUUAUUGUAUAAAGAUUGAAUAAUUUGAAAAUGCAUAAAUUAUAUUAUGUUUGGUUCUUCAAAAAUUUAAGGAAAAAAAAGAAUAUAUAUAUAUAUAUAUAUAUAUAUAUAUAUAUAUAUAUAUAUAUAUAUAUAUAUAUAUAUAUAUAUAUAUAUUUUAUAAUUAAUAAAUUAUUUUUAUAUAUUAUUUUCAAUUUAUUUCACUUUUUUUUCUUGAUUAAAUAAUUAAAAUAUUUAAAAAUUUAUAAUUUGUUUUAAUUAUAUUUGAUUCUCCUUUUAUAUAUAUAUAUACACAGAGAACCGUUUUUUUGUUGUUGAGCACCUGCGCAUAUGUUCAGAGCAAACUCCAACCAUGCACUUGAACAAACAAUUGGACUAAGCUUGGGGAUGAAGAAAAUGGAGAUGUGGAUAGGAGCAUAGUGUGGCCCCGUUGGUUAAUAAGUGAUUGGGGGCAAGGGAACAAACACUUUGAUGGCACAUGGAGGAGCACUUACAAGGAAGAAUGAUACCGUACUUGAAUUUUAUGGAUGUAUCGGUCAAAUAUAGAUGAAUAUUCUAAUAGUGAGACGAAAAUGGUUUAAAAUUCAUUAAAAUACUUUAAUUUUUUUUUAAAUAAUAAAAUAAAUAAAAAUAUAUAUGUUAAAAUUAUUUUGUAAGUGCAAAUAACGUAAUUAUGAUGAAGGAUAAUAUUUAUAAAAAAAUUUAGAAAAAUUUAUCUUGAAUUCCUUUCAUAUAUUUAUAUUCAUCUAUUUUAAAAUUUUAAAACUAUUUUUUAUUAAAAACAUGUUUUAUUACAUUUUAAAUAAAAAAUAAAAUCCUUUUUAAGAUUUAUAUAAAAUGUUUUAUUUGAGAUUUAUUUUCUAAAAUUUUAUUAUAUGUGGUAACAACUUUUUAUUAUAGAUAUUAAUUUAUUUAAAGAAUUAAAAUUAUUAAAAAUUAUAUUAAUAGUUUAUCCUAUCAAAUUAAUUUAAAUUUAUAAAAUAUUAGACCUUUAUUAUUAUUAUUAUUAUUAUUAUUAUUAUUUACAUUUUAGCAAUUUUUGAAUACAUUUAUGUUUUCAAUAUUUUAAAAUGAAAAUAUUUAAAUUAAAUAAAAUUAAAAGGAUAAACAUAAAAAAUUUAAAGUGAAAUGAUAGUAAAAUUUUAAAAUAUGAUUAAUGAGAUAAAUGAUGAUAGAUUUAAUAUUAAAACUACAAUUCAUUUAAUUCAAAUAAAUGACCAUGUAUGAUUUUUUUUAAUAUUUAUAUUUUUUAUAUUUAAUUAUCAUACUUGUUAAGAAAAUUAUAAUGAUGGUUUUUCUACUUUUAGUAAUCAAUUAAAUAAAAUUUAAAAUAAAAUAAUUAGAAUUAAUAUAUUUAUUAAAAUAUUCUUAUAACAAUGAAGUUUAAUAUAUUGAUAUGUAUAUAUAUUAAGGCAAACUUGCCCCAACGGUGGUUAGACAUGAGUUCAAGCCUUUUUGACCCAACGAUAGUUAAUUGAUUGAAAUAUUGUGAAAAUUUAUGAAAAGUCGAUAUUUCGGUGAUAAUUCCAAAAUAUAAGCUAAAUUUCUCCUAAUUUUCGGUCCCUAUUGAAUCACUCUGACAAGUGAAGCGAAAUAUUGAUAAAAUUUCACUAAAAAUUUGCGAUAUUUCAAACAUUGGUUUCAAGCACACAUCAAGGCACGAUUCAAGAGACAAACCCAUCAAGGGAGGAAACAUGGAUGGGGCAUGCUUUAAGUGCACUUUUUACAUUUUGAGACGCGUGAGGAGUAAGCUUUAGUGUACUUGAACAAAAAAUUGAAAUGGAAAACCAACCUAUCUAUGAGUGUUUAGGUAGGUUGGCAAUUUCUGAUAAAAUUCCUAAGUGUCCCCUAACUUGGUUUAUAUUUUGUUCCCCUAUUUCUGGAUCGAUCCAAGUGCAGGAGUAAAUCGAUCCAACUAACCUAUUUUUAAGAUCAAUUUUUAGCCAUUGGAUUAAGGGUUUUAUUCUCAUUUAAAAUCAAAAUUUUCCCAUUUUUGGAAGUAAUGAUUGCAACAGCCGUGAGAGGAUUAUUUAUUUCCUCAUCAUUUUAAGGGUGUUUGCCUCCUAAGAAAAUCCCAUCCAAAUUUUCCAAGAAAUUUUUUUUUAAUGGAUUUUUUGAAAAUGAACAUGGGUUGAUUUCUAAAAAUUUAUCUCUCAUUCUCUUAGUUUUGUGCAAAAACUCAUUUUCUUCUUGUGUGAAUUCAAGAAGAGAUUGAGAUCAAGCUUGGUGCGGACUCCAAGUGUGUUCUGAAAUAAGAAAGUGAGAAGCUGAAAGUGAAGGUAUUAGUCAAGUAGUCUUUAAAGGAUUGAUUGACUUGAGGUAGGUAAAAUCUUGUAUUCAGUUUUGAUUCUUCAUAGUGAAUGUUUUCAAUUUUAUAGUAGGCCCAUGGUUUUUUAUCUUUUUGGAAGUUUUCCACAUUAAAACUUAGUGUCAAUUAUCUCUUUCUCUCACUCUACUGUUUGAUUUAUUUUCAGUUUUUGAUAUCAUUGGAUACUUAAGCAUAUAUGUUGAAUGGUAGAUAUAUGAGCUGAAAUAAGUAUGAUUAUCCAUGGAAUAUCUUCAAUUAUUUUUUUGUUUAUUUUGGUUAAUGGUAUCUUGUAGUAAAUUAAAAUGAGUUAAGGAGAUAAUUGUUUUUUUGAAUAAAUUUUAAUGAGUAUUGAAACAUUUGCAUGUGAAUUGCAUUUUAUAAAUUGUUGGGAGAGUGUUGGUGUAUACAUACUUGCUUGUGGUUUUUAUGCUUUGUUGAAAAGUUGUUGGAAGAGAAGUUUAUGGGCAUUGAAAAUUUUUAAGGUUAGGUAAUCCUUGUUGGGAAAUUUUUUUUAGUUCAACAACACUUAUUCACUCUCUCUCUCUCUCUCUCUCUCUCCCCCUCCCCUCCUUUCUAAGUGUAGUCCAUUAUUGAGAUUUACCUUUUCAAUUGACAUCUGAGUAGGUUUUUAAAGCAAAAAUCACUUUCUUGAAUCUCAAUUAUAGAACCUCAUCAAGAGGGAGCUUCCAUUGGGAGACCACCAAUCUUAACCGAUGAAAAUUAUUCUCAUUGGAAAGUGAGAAUGCAAUAUUUUCUCAAAAUGCAAAGUGAAAAAAGUUUGAAAUGCUGUUGAAUUUGGUUAGUCUCCACCUAAGGUAUUGGAUAGAGAAGAUAGACCAACAAAUGUUAUCAAGCCUAAGUCGGAAUGAGAUAGAGGUGAUAAUGAAGCUAGUGAGAACAAUGAUAGAGUCAUCUAUUCCAUCUUUAAUGCCAUUAACACAUAUGAAUUCCAUAGGAUAGCUACAUGUACUUUGGCUAAGGAGGCUUGGGACAUCCUCUAAGUGACUCAUGAAGGAACUAAUGUUGCGAAAGUGUUCAAACUUCAGAUGUUGACCUUUAGGUUUGAGACAAUUAGGAUGGAAGAUCAUGAAAACUUUGGAGAGUUUUAUGCAAAAUUGAUGGACAUUGUGAAUUCUAGCUUUAAUCUAAGUGAGCCCAUUCUUAACUCCAAAGUGGUUUCAAAAAUUCUAAGAUCUCUUUCGGAGAGAUUUAGAGCAAAAAUCACCGUCAUUGAAAAGUCCAAGGAUGUGGAUUCCUUAAAAGUAAAUAAACUUGUAGGUUCACUCCAAACCUUUAAAAUGACUCUUGGAUCACCUAGGAAAUCAAAGAGUAUUGCCUUAAAUACCAUUAAAGAUGAGUCCUUAGGUUCUAAAGGUGAGUGUGAUGAGAAAAUGUCGGAUGGAGAAGUUGCUAGAUUUGCUAGAAAAUUCAAAAAACACAUGAAGUUCAAGAAAUAUAAGAAGUCCAAGGAAAAUGCUAAAAAAUGGAACAAUUCAAUGGGAAAAUCAAAUGUAAAAGACAAAAAGAAAGACAAGAAUGUCAAAAAGGACCUUGAGGUUGAGUGCUUCAAGUGUGGGGAAAAGAUGCACUAUGUCAUCGAAUGUCCCUAAAAAAAAAAAAAAAAAAAAAAAGAAAAAAAAAGAAAGAAAGCCAUGUAAGUCAUUUGGAGUCACACAAAAUCAUGUUAAUCAAGCAAAAAAGAAUCAAAUGCAAGUGAGGAAUGCACUAAUUUCACAGCCUUUAUGGUAAGUGUCAUUGAGGAAACACUCAAGAAAGAAGUUUUUGGUGAGUCUUGUGAGUCAAGUGACUUUGAUGGUAAUGAGAUGAGUUUUGACUCUGCAUAUGAGACUUUGUACAAGGAGUGCUUAAGUCUAAAACAGAAACAAGUUGAGUGGAAGGCUUCUAGUGAGUCUUGUGAGUCAAGUUAAGUCUCAACUUGAGACCUGUGAGGCAUAAGCUUCAGUGUACUUGAACAAAAAAUCGAAAUGGAAAACCAACCUAUCCCUUCUCAACUUGUCUACGUUCCAUUCUUCUUUGCUUCAAAGUGAUCACAAGUAUUGCUCUCUUUCCUCGGUUCCCAUAUCAUUAUCAUUUUCUUUGCUUAUCUUCAUAUUCUCAUUUCUUGCUCUUUCUAUUCAACGACAAACAUUAUUUUCAUUUUAUUCUCUUCUUGUAUCUUUACUUGUUGUACCUUUUUUUCCGUUUAAAAGUUCGUUUGAAGGAGGAAGACUAGUUUGGGGUUUUUAAAUUGAAAUGAUGAUUCUGUCAUCACUUAAACCUUGUCACAUGUUCAACAUUAUGCAUAUUUUGUUCAUUAUAACUAACAUCAUCACACAAUACAAUAAAUGUAUGACAUGUAUUUAUGAAGUAUGAUGGGUACAUUGUUGAAUUUUAAAUGUAAAGGGGUAAUAUGAAAAACACACUAUUGGUUGAAGGUAAAGUGUAAUACACUCUUUUAUUUUAUAUGUUUUAAAAUAUUUUAUAUAUUUAUUAAUUAUUAAUUAUGAAGAUUAAAUUCAAGUCUAGGCCUUGUUUUACAAUGUUUUCUUAAAUUAGUUUUGAAAUUAAAGGAAAAAGAAAUAAUGUUUUUUGGUACUUUUAAAAAUGUGUUUAAUAAGCGUUUAAAAAAAAUAAUUUGUAAGAGCAAAAAAAAACACUUGGAUAAACAAAUUUUAGUUGUUUUUAAAAUUAAUUUUUAUAUUUUGAUUUUAUAAAAAAUUUGGAAAUUCAAAUUUUCAUAAUAUUAAUUAAAUUAAAUUAAAUUCAAGCCUUUUUAAAAUAAAAAAUGGUGUUGUAAUUAAAAAUAAUUGAUUUUAGUAAUAUGAUAAUAAAAACAUAAAUUAUAUAUAUAUUUAUUAAAGAUGAUACUAUUUUAGUAUAUAAAUAUUAAUAUUUUAUUAUAGUCAUAGUUUAUUCUCUUUUCCAGAACUGAUACUUCCAUUCAUCCUUGAGGAUGUCAGCAUCUUUUGCUUAGCCGCAGGUGAAGUUUGGAUUCUCUCUUUAUUGUUUACAGUUUGAGGGGUGUGACUUUGCUUUACAGCUGUCCAUCUUUUGAUUCACAUAUGGAGAAAGCCACAGAGGAUGCAGAUGCAACAAAACAACGAAGUGGUCAAGUGUGUCAACCGGAAAGACGUGCUUAAAGCUUUCUGCAUUAAGUGGAAAAACUUAAAAAAAUAAUCUUACUUUAUUCUGUUGAUGACUCAUUCUAAUACAUUAUUACCAUUCAUAGUGGAGAAUGGAGAUCAAAUUUCGAUUUUGUCCCACUAUUUGGGCGUCGGUGAAGGAAUUGGCAGGCGCGCUUCAGUGUGCAUCGGGGCGCGCUUCAGUGUGCAUCGGGGCGCGCUUCGGUACGCGUCGAGGCGCGCUUCGGUACGCGUCGAGGCGCGCUUCAGGUACGCGUCGAGGCGCGCUGCAGGUACGCGUCGAGCCCAAAAGGCAUACGAGUCAGAGUUCAAGACAUGGAAGAGGCGCGCCUCCGGUGCGCUUUUCAGACCUGGAGGGUGGAGGGUGGAGGGUGGACGCGUAAGUUUUGAUGUAGUUGAACAAAAGAUGAAAUGGAUGCAAGUUUCAGAAAAGAAUCCAAGCCCUUUCCAAGUCCCAACUCUUUUUCUCUCGUGGACGCCCCUCGCUCUUCUCUGCUUUCCCGUGGUUGCAGUGCAGGUUCUGCUCUCUCCUUUCUCUCCUCAUUUCGUUUUCAUUCUCUCUCUCUCUCUCUCUCUUCCUCUAUUUAUUUUUUUCCCUUUUAUGAAUUACAAUUUACAACAUAAAUGUCACUUAUUUUUAAUCCCGCAUUAUUGUGAUUUAUUGGCAAAAUAAAAGGAAAAAUUACUUAGUUAUGUAUGAUUUCCAUAUUUUACAAAUUUUUUUUUGUUUGCAAUUCAUGUGUUCAAAUUACAAAAAAAAAAAAAAAGUGUAAUUAAAUUAUUGUUCUUUUUAUAUAUAACUAAAAAUAAUGCAAUUCCAUCAUUAUCCUUUUUCUCAAGUAAUAAAAAAGUAUACAAUUUAAAUAUUAAUUUAAGUGAAAAAAUACAUUAUUUAGGUGAAUUUUUUUAUAAAUUUAUUUUUAAAUAUAUAUAUAUAUAUAUAUAUAUAUAUAUAUAUAUAUAUAUAUAUAUAUAUAUAUAUAUAUAUAUAUAUAUAUAAAAUGUAAGAGCACAUACCUUGUUUAUUUGAAAAUUUUCAAGUUCAAUUUUUUAAAAUUUUAAGAUUUUAAAAAGAGUUUUUAAGAUACAAAGUAAAUUUUGUAUUUUUUAUAAGAGCUCUUAUAUUUUGUUCAGAGGUUUUUAAUUUUAAAAAUAAAAUAGAAAGUAUAUUUAAAUGUCACCUUAGUUAUUCUUAAUUAUUUUGAUUUAUUAUGAAGUUUAUUAUUUUUUAUUUGUUAUUUUGUAUAUGUUAUAAAUUAUUUUUUAUAUUUACUAGUUAUGAAAAUUAAAUUAUCAAAAGCUUCGGAAUGUCAUCCUAGGACACUAAAAUGCCUAUUCUAGGCUUUUAACUUCAAAAAAAUGUAAGGUAGAAAGGGUUGACAUCCUAUCGAAAUAUGAAACAUGUUUAGGAAUGAUUCUAAUUAAAACCCUUUUAGUCCAUGACAUUUUUUGUUAAUAGUGUUUUCAUUAAAAAGGCAUUUAAGGAAAAUUACUUAGUGUUUGUGUUAGUGUUCAAACUCUUGAAGUUGGGUUUGCUACUAAUCUUGACUUAACAAUCCAAAGUAGUAAUUGAUUAACUUAUGCAUAUAAUCUCUUUAUAAAUUAAUAUCUGUAAUCUAACAAGGUGAAAGAUAACAACUUCUCAAGAUUACCUUUAUCAUCCUUGAGUUCCAAAUCAUCCUAUAAUAUAAUUAAUUAACAUAUCCUAACUCACAACGAGCUUAUAUCAAAUUUCACUAAAGAAACCAUUAUGGUCAUAAUUUACUUAAACACAUCUCCUUAGGAUUGCCCAAGGGGACAUAAUGUCUUAAUUUCAUAAUAUAUCAUAAUGCUCAUAUUGAAAAUACAUAUUGCUAUCAAAUUUCAUCAACAGUGAUCCAAUUUAUAGGGAAUAUAUAAUUACUUUAAGAUUUCACUCGUACGUCAAAGUCAUUGCUAACUUUGUUACAAACUCAAUAUUCUCUCAAGGUUCAUAAUAGUUUAAUAAAGUCAUAACUAAUCAAUAGUCUUACGUCAUGAUUCAACAUAAGUUUUAUCUAAUGUGUAACCGAACACACUAUUGUAUUUACCAUAGGAACCUCAUCCUAGUGGGUAAGACCGGUUAUUUUUUUAAUUAGGAGGUAAUGCAUUACAACCUAUAAUGAAUUGUCUAAGUCCAUGAAUUGACCUCUAAAUAAAUCAUCUAUUUGUAAAGAACUAAUGACUUGAAUCUUCCCGUACAACUUUUAAUAUAUCAAAGUCAUGCAAAAUACAAGAAAUAUAAGUCAAAAUACUCAUAAGAUAAAAUGUAUGAAAUAAGAAUAGAUUAAAAUGCAACGGAAACUUUAUUAAAUAAAUUAUAAACUUUAAAUUUGUUGUAUCAUAUCAUACUUUUCAGGACUCUUAAUAGAUGUGUUAUUAUUCAUAUAUUCCAAAAACAGUAUCAUAAUUUAUUUUCUUGUCUAUGUUGAUCAUGACCUUAUCAAUACUAGUAACCACUUAAGCUUUACUUCUCAUUUCAUUGCAAGCCUCUCAUUAUAGUUCUUCGUGAAGGAUCUUAGAGAUCUACAUGACUUCCUUGAUGUUAAGGUUGUCCCUACUACCAAAUGUAAUGUUUCUACCUCUACAUAAAUACAUUUGGAACCUCCUACAACCUCACCAUAUAUCAUAAUCCAAUGUAGUGAACAUUCCAUUAUCAACCUUAACACCUUUGGUUCACUAUGAUGGUACUCUUUCCUAUAACCCAACGCAAUAUUGACAAGUGGUUAGAACCGAACCCUCUAAUCUUCAGCCGUGCAAAUGGCAUCUUCUUUGUUGUAAACAAGUUAUCUUAAGUCAUGCAUUAACCAACUCAUACGCAUUGUUCAAUUGCCACCUACCUACCUAUGUACCAAUCUAAUUUUUCACUCUCGUGUAUAAAACAUGUUGCUAUUGAUUUUCAUUUUGUUCACGAUAAGGUUUUUGUCGGCCAACAUUGUGCGUCUCAUGUUUCCACUCAAGACCAAGGAGGAAAAAAUCGGCGAAAUAUCGCCGAUAUAUCGCGUGUCGGCGGGUGGCGAAACGACACAUGGAGGAGAUAAGUCGGCCAGGCGAUUUUUCGCAAAAAAUCGUCCCCCUCUCUCCAGCGUGAUCUGACGGCCCAGAUCACGCCCGUGUUGAUCCAACGCCCAGAUUUGAAUCCCAACGUUAACAAAGAGAUCCAACGGCCAGAUUGCUUCCAAAUUGUGAUCCAACGGCCAAAAUUAAUUUUAAACGGUAACUUAAGCUUUCAACGGCUAUUUUGGCCCAAAUUUCACCUAUAAAUAGCCAAUUUUGCAUCAAUUUCAUCCAUUUUUGCUUUGAUUCUUCAUUUGCUCUCCUAUUACUCCAAUUUUUUCCAAGAUUGCUCAAUUAUUCAAUCAUUUUAAGGUAUGUUUGUUUGCAAUAAUUAAUUCAUGUAUUUUUAAUUAAUUAGUAUGUUUACAUUCAAUUGUAAUUAUUUUGUAUAUUUUUAUUGAAUUAAUUUGGGUUAUGAUAUAUUUAUUUUAGAUGAUUAUUUGUGAUUUAAAUUCGUAUUUAGAAUUACAUUAAACUAAUUAACUUAGCUAAAUUGUUUAAUUAAUUUAAUUAACAUAGUAAAUUAUGUAAUUAAUUUAAUUAACAUGGUUAAUUAUGGAAUAUUAAAUAUGCUCAAUAUUUUAUAUUAUCGCAAUUUAUUUUCAUAUUCAAUUAUGAUUAAUUUCAAUAUUUAGUAAAUUUGUCAUAAAAUUACAUUUAGAUUUUAAAAAUUAACUUAGGUAAUUUAUUUAAUUAGUUAAAUUAACAUGAACUACUAUAUAUGAAAUAUUAAAUAUGAUCAAUUUUUUUAUAUUAUCGCUAUUUAUUUUCAUAUUCAAUUAUGAUUAAUUUCAAUAUUUAGUAAAUUUGUCAUAAAAUUACAUUUAGAUUUUAAAAAUUAACUUAGCUAAAUUAUUUAAUUAGUUAAAUUAACAUGAACUACUAUAUAUGGAAUAUUAAAUAUGAUCAAUUUUUUUAUAUUAUCGCGAUUUAUUUUCAUAUUCAAUUAUGAUUAAUUUCAAUAUUUAGUAAAUUUGUCAUAAAAUUACAUUUAGAUUUUAAAAAUUAACUUAGGUAAUUUAUUUAAUUAGUUAAAUUAACAUGAACUACUAUAUAUGGAAUAUUAAAUAUGAUCAAUUUUUUUAUAUUAUCGCGAUUUAUUUUCAAUUAUGAUUAAUUUCAAUAUUUAGUAAAUUUGUCAUAAAAUUACAUUUAGAUUUUAAAAAUUAACUUAGGUAAUUUAUUUAAUUAGUUAAAUUAACAUGAACUACUAUAUAUGGAAUAUUAAAUAUGAUCAAUUUUUUUAUAUUAUCGCGAUUUAUUUUCAUAUUCAAUUAUGAUUAAUUUCAAUAUUUAGUAAAUUUGUCAUAAAAUUACAUUUAGAUUUUGAAAAUUAACUUAGGUAAUUUAUUUAAUUAGUUAAAUUAACAUAGAUUUAAAUUUAAGUGUAUUUUUCUUGCAAUAGAUUUAGCAUGGCUAGUGAAGGUGGUUCUGCCGUGCCAGGGCGAGAUCCGGCUUGGAAGUAUUGUUCACCAAUUGAGGGUAAUCGAAAUGCAACAAUUUGUAAUUUUUGUGGGUUGGUAAUGAAAAGUGGAGGCAUCACACGAUUCAAGUCUCAUUUAAUGCAUAAGGACCCGCAUAACAACACCAAAAAGUGUCCAAGAGUGCCGCCCGAAGUGAAAGAAGAGAUACGAUUGUUGGUGCAUGACAAACAAAAAGCAAAAGCAAAAAAAAAUGCUGAUAUUGAAGAAAUUCGUAGUCAAUUACGUGGCACAAUGGGGACGCAUCAUACACAUUUGGUAAACGAAGAUGAUGAUGAUGAAGAUGCUGAGGAAGAAGAUGUGUAUAUGUAUCCGACAGAUAUGCACCCAGAUGAGCGAGAUGCAUAUCGAUCUGCAGUUCGUGCCUCGAAAGCAUCUAAUUGGGAACGUGAACAACAUGAGAAUAUUGUAGGAAGCAAACGCAAAUCGGGAGAGUCUUCUACUGGUAUACCGUUGACGAUGCGAAAAUCACAGAGUAUGCGAUAUUCGCAUCAUUCACCCCCUAUUGCCCCUUCGCUUUACAAGUCUUCUACAGCAAAACAAAAAAAUAUCAAAGAUAUAUUCAAGGGUGGUGCAAUUAAAGAAACGAUGGGACGCUUAAUCAGCAAAUUCUUCAUUUAUGAGAGCGUCGCACCCGCAAAAGCAAAGUCUCAUCACUUCAAGAAUAUGAUUAUUGGUGCACAACAAGCAGGUAAUUACUAAUUUAUCAAAUGUUAUAUUGUGUUAUACUUUUAGUAAGUAUAGUAUUUUGUGACAUGUUUUACAUAUGAAGUGCAGGAAUGGGAAUCGAACCUCCAUCUCCAUAUGAAAUAAAGAACAAAUACUUGGAAAUGGAGUACAAAGAAAUGGAAGCUUAUGUGAACCAACAACGGGAAAAAUGGAAGACAUAUGGGUGCACAAUAAUGUCAGAUGGAUGGACAGGGCCCACGAAAUUAAGUAUUAUUAAUUUCAUGGUUUAUUCUAAAGGGACCACGGUGUUCCUUAAGUCAGUCGAUGCAUCGAACUAUAUCAAAGACCACAAGUAUAUAUAUGAGCUUUUGAAGACUAUUAUCAAAGAAGUCGGUAAGGAAAAUGUGGUCCAAAUUGUCACAGAUAAUGGGUCGGCAUUCAUGAAAGCAGGGAAACAAUUGAUGAAGAAGUAUAACUUAUAUUGGACUCCGUGUGCGGCACACUGCAUCGACUUAAUCUUUGAAGACAUCGGUAAAAGACCCAAUGUUAUCGAGGUGAUAAACAAUGCUCGCAAGAUAACUAACUUCAUUUACAAUCAUGGUUGGUUACUAGCACAAAUGAGAAAGUAUUGUGGUGGAGACAUUGUUCGACCAGGAGCUACAAGGUUUGCUACCAAUUAUAUUGCUCUUGACAGUCUUCUAAAAAAAAGGGCUGAUUUGAAAAAAUUGUUUAUGAGUGAUGAAUGGGCACAACACAAACUCAGUCGAACAAAACUUGGACGAGAAUUGGAGCAAUUAUUGUUUGACCAUACGUAUUGGGACAGAUUGACAAAUAUAGUUUCAUUAUAUGAGCCAUUAUACGUGGUGCUUCGACUUGUGGAUUCUGAAGUUGUUCCCACAAUGCCAUUUGUGUACGAGCUUAUGCACGUGAUGAAAGAGAACCUUAUUCGUCAAGGAGCUGGAGAUUGGAUGUUCAAAAUAAUACAAGAUCGUUGGCAGAAAACACUAAAACAUCCACUUCAUGCAGCAGGUACUUAAAUACUAUAUAUCUUUAUAAGUUUUACUUUGUAUUUAAGUUUAUUUAAAAAAAAAAUACUAACUCUACUAAAUUUUAUUGUAGCAUACUUCUUGAAUCCAAGAUUUCAAUAUAGGCGUGGAGUUGGUAGUGAUCCGGAACUACUUCAAGCUGUCCAUGAUGUUUUUGCAAAAUUAGAUCCAACUACUGAAUCGCUUGGUCAAUUUGGAAAUGAGGUGAAUAAAAAAUUGUUAUUUUUGUCAAUAAAACAAUAAUUUCAUUCAUCAAUUUAUUUGAACGUUUACUAACAAAUUAAAUGUUGAAUACAUAGCUUGUACUUUUUCGAGAUGCAAAAAGAGGAUUCGGUGAUCGAGCGGCAAUUGCAUCAAGGUCAACCAUGGUGCUUGGUGAGUCUUUAUAGGAAAAAAUUGAUUAUUAUUAUUGUAAGUUCACCACAUAAGUAUUUAUAUGAUUAUCAAAUUCGUUGCAGCUGAAUGGUGGUUUAUGUAUGGGAAUCAAACACCUACAUUGAGAAAGUUAGCCAUCAAAGUUCUCUCACAAACUGCGUCAUCUUCUGCAUGUGAGAGAAAUUGGAGCACGUUUGCUCUCAUCCACACAAAGCAACGAAAUCUUUUGGCUUACUCUCGAUUGGAGCAAUUAGUGUUUUGUUACUAUAAUAUGAGGCUAAAGUUACGCGAUAUGGAGACAGAAAAUGAUCGAGUUGCUGAAAAAGAUUACCUUGAUCUCCUUGACAUUUCAGCCGAGGUGGGUGAAGAAGAAGAUAAUCAGUUGUUCCAGUGGGUUAGGCCUAUACACUUGGAUGACGAAGUUGGAAAUCCUGAUCCACGAAUUGCCGCUCAUGCUCGAGAAUUUGGAGUUAAUGUUGAACGUGUGUUGUCCGAAGAAGUUCACUCUGAAAGUUUUAGCAAAGAUACUGAUGAUUCUCUUCAUGCAACAUAUUCCCAGCAAGAGAUUGACUCCACAAGUGCUGGCCAUAGUAGUAGACCUAGUGCUGCAGGUACUUCUGCUUCUGGUUACGAUGGUUCAAGAGGUGGAACUGAUGAUGGAGGUGAUAAUGGGGGAGGAGAUAUUGAUGAACAUCGACAUAGUCAAUAUCCAAUCAACCAAUUUACUUGUGAAAAUGAUUUCACACACUGCACACAGGAUGAAGACCAUGGCUCUAGAAGAGCUGGUCCAGGCAUAAGAGCUAUUGGGAGGCCUUAUAGAGGAAGAGAACGAAUGAUGGAACCAUAUAACAAGGAGUUACUUUCAGGGAGUUUUGAAUCUAUGAGUAUAGGGACUCAAUUUAGUGACUCCUCGAAUGAGGCUAACGUCUACCCUCCUCAUGUGAUGAGUUAUGGUCAACCUUCAAGUUCAAUAGAUGAAGAGUAUGGUAUGUCACAUUAUUCCCCUUCCAGACAAAUGCCAUACCAAAUUCCAUAUCAGAUGGAAGAAGGAUUUGGCGUUAACACAUGGGUGAACUUUGAGUAUCCUAUCCAUGUAGAAGCAGUAGGCAGGACUCAAGAGAUAUAUGCAUGGCAUGUUAGAAUUUAUAACCAAUAUUAUCGAGACUCAUUGACUUGGUACCAAUAUUGUCUCCAACAGCAAGCCGGGGUUCCUUCAUCUAUCAAUCCCAUUGAACCACAUCGAAACUCAUUUUGGUACUAAAGGGACAUUGCAAUGUAAUGUGUACAAAUUAUUGUUAUUUAAUGAAAUGAAGUAUUUGAUGUGACUUUAUAAUGAGAUCAAUUACGAAAUUAACAUUUCUUAUAGAUCGACAUGAUAUAAUUACAUCUAAUAUCGCAAAUUAUAUCAUAUAUAUAUCAAAUUUUUCAAUAAAACAAUUUUAAAAUGUCUAUUAUACUUCUAAUUAUAUUAUUAUGAGGUUUUUCUUACAUUUCCAUGAGUUUUUAACAAUUUUAAGCCUACCAAUAAUAUCCACCGAUAUAUCUCCGAUAUAUCCGAUAUAUCCGUAAAAUCGAAUUACCGAUAUAUCCGUGAUUACUGAUAUUUUCAUCCUUGCUCAAGACCAACUUGUUGACGCUCUCACCAAAUCAUUAUUCCAUCAAUGACUUCUUUUAUUCCUUUCCAAGAUGGGUGUUUCCAAUGGAAUCAUUAUCUUGAGGUGAAAUAUUGGGAACGAAUCAACAACUUCUCCCAACCUCGUGGAUUCCAGCUCAUGAUCCACUCAUUCACAUGAAAUGAAGUCUCUUAAUUUCAACUGCUCCCAAUUAUUCGCAAUUAAGCAUAUUGUAAUAUUCUCAUUUGUAACAAUUCCUUUCAUUUGAAUUCUGAUUCUUUGUGUAUAUAUAUUAUUGUAAAAGAUACAACAAUUUAUUCAAUUCAUUCCUUUUUCUGCAAACUUGCUUGACCCUAUUAAUGCCAUCUUACAUCCACUGUCAUUCCAUUCAUGAAAGCAGACCAUAAAAAACACUCGCUCAUAAAACAUCACUCCAAAAAAAAAAAGAAGGAAAAAUCAGUUUUUUUGCCAAAUUUACAACAAGAAUAUUUGUUUAUUUGGCAAGCAGAGGGACUGGAGAGCAAAAUCAGCCUGAAGUCACGGGUCAUGAAAUAGGAUGCCUGGCCUGAAAAAGGCAUGUGAAGCCAGUCCAAAUUCCGAGUAGAAAAAAGGUCUCCAGUGAGGGUGGGGACAUGGAGGCUGGAAAUUGUAAUAAUCCCAAGAGUAUGUUGGAAUUUUUAUGUGUGGACUUACAUAAUUAAUUUGAUAAUGUCAUAAAUCAGUGUUAUUUAUUUUUGCAUUGUGGUCCAUAAUGGGACUGGACACAUAUUGUUGCUUAAUUUUUAUGGGCUCACCCUAAUUCACUUGAUUAGCCCAUUAAGUCAAGUGGUGGUCCAAAUAAUGUGUGUGAUAUAUAUAUAUAUAUAUAAAAGAAAAGGAUGGGCUCACUGUGUGGCUGGCUCCCUACUCUUCCUCCUUUGGCUGAAAGAGAGCACGCACUCUCGUCAUGGACUGAAUCUGGGUGUAGAAGGGAAGAACUCAUUAACCCGUAAUUCUCGCACUAUCAAGCACUGGAGGAGCUUCCUGAAUACUAGAAAAGAGCAAGAAAUGGCCUUUCACGGAAUUAACCAAGGUGAACGUUUCCGUUUUUGCCGUUCAAUGCAUGCUUAAAUGUCAACAUGUGAUCCUAUAUUGUUUAAAUUUUCUUCAAUUGGUAUCAGAGCAAGCAUGAUUGACAUUUGAGCUGCAAUUUUGGGUUAAUUUUUGGGUUUCCCGUUUCCUGUGGUGGAAGCCAUUUUUUUGGAUUUUUAUUUCUCGUUUGAUGUUGAUUCUCUGUUUUCAAGCCCGAUUGUUGUUGGAAACUUGUAGAGAAUAUUGUUUGGAGCAAAACCCAUCAUUUUAUUUGAUUUUUGGAGCUUGUUUGGUGGGAUUUCGAAAAUUAAGGCUUGUUUGGUUCUUGCUAUUAUGCGUUUUUUUGUGCAAUUUUUGGGUUUGGAUUGAAGAAUUGAUGUUUGAGGAUGGAAAUCUAUGUAUUUUUGACGAAAAAUGCAUGAAAUUUUGGGCGGAAAAUUUUUUUUUUCUUCUCCAGAACCAGGCCGUGCUCAGCUAGAGGAGAAGAUGAAUAGUGAUGUGAUGAAUCAUGACGUCAUAAAAAAAAAAAAAAAAAAACCAAUUUUUUUUUUUUUUGUUGCCUUGGUAUUCUUGGAUUGAUUGUGCAUAUGCUAGAAUUAUUAUGCAUUUGUUAAAUUUGACUUUAUUGGGACAAUUAUUAUUAUUAUUGUUCUUUAUGGUAUAAUUUUUCCUUAUAUUAAUAAUGUUGUCCUAUGUCAAUUUUGUUAAAUAUUUCAAUUUAUUGAGGCAAUGAAGCACACUUGUGUGAUUGCCUAUUGCAAUUCCAAGUGUGUGAUUGAUUGUGCAUAUGCUAGAAUUAUUAUGCAUUUGUUAAAUUUGGCUUUAUUGGGACAAUUAUUAUUAUUAUUGUUCUUUAUGGUAUAAUUUUUCCUUAUAUCAAUAAUGUUGUCCUAUGUCAAUUUUGUUAAAUAUUUCAAUUUAUUGAGGCAAUGAAGCACACUUGUGUGAUUGCCUAUCGCAAUUCCAAGUGUGUCAAAUUGUGAAAAUUAAGAUAUUUUGAAUUUUAUUCAUGACAAUAGUGAACAUAUGUGUGGUUGCCUAUCGUGAUCCUAUAUGUGUCAAAUUGUCUUUGUUGAGAUAUUUUAUCUCCCUUUUUUUAUUGUUUUAUUAUUGUGAUAACUAAGGUCCAUACGGGUAUUGUGAUUGUCCUAUCGAUGAUUAUAAUAUUUGGUAGGAUAUUUGGAUUGGUGAAGGAAAUUAAUUUUAUAUUAUGACUCAUACUAAUUUUCUUUGCCCUUUCGGUAAUAAAAUUAGUGCAUCUUAGUUGUGAUAUUUAAUUGAUUGUCCUUAUUAAUUGCAUAGAAUCACAUGUUGACAAAUUAAGCAUGCAUUUAACAGCAAAAUUCAAUCCGUUACCUUGGUUCGUGCUUUGGGAAACCAUUUCUUCUCUCCUUUGAUAUCCAAUAAUCUGCUUUCCGGGUGCGUGAUGGUCCGAGAAUGAGCGAUCAUAUUUGGUAGGAUGCUUGGAUUGGUGAAGGAAAUUAAUUUUAUAUUAUGACUCGUACUAAUUUUCUUUGCCCUUUCGGUAAUAAAAUUAGUGCAUCUUAGUUGUGAUAUUUAAUUGAUUGUCCUUACCGCCGUGGAAUUUUCAAAAUUCCAAGCUGUUGCUAAAUUGAGAAAUUCUGGAAACUAGCAAAUGCAUGAUUUUGUAGUAACAUGCAUAUUGCUUAAUUUUGCUAUUUUCCAACUACUAGCAAUCCUGGUAUUACUCUGCAAUUGUUUGCCAUCAAACCCUCUUACUGGAAUAAUUUUGAGGAAUGUUUUGAGUCUUUCAAUGUGCAUAUGACUAUGCACAUUUUGGACUGGGCUUUGAGAGUUGAUAAGCCAAGUAAAUUUGAGUUCUUCCAUAUUGUAGCACAAACGCCUAGGUCAUAUUUCUAGGCAAAGAUUAGAGAGAUUGGUUAGAGAUGGUGAGUAUUAUGGGAGAUGUGAUGAGACUGGACGGAAUUCUGGACCAUUCACUAAGUUUCUAUUGGAAUGCGGCAUUGAUGCUAGAUAUACAAUGUCAGGCACUCCUCAACAGAAUGGGGUUGCAGAAAGGAGGAAUCGCACAUUGUUGGAUAUGGUGAGGUGCAUGUUGUCUAAUUCCUCCUUACCAGAAUUUCUAUGGGGUGAAGCCUUAAGGAAUGCGGCAUAUAUUUUGAAUCAAGUGCCCAGUAAGUCUGUGCUUAAGACACCUUAUGAGCUAUGCGCAGCGGAAGCGUGGUUAGGCCCUAUAAUCCAUAGUUAAAGAAACUUGAUCCUAAAACCAUUAUUGGUUUCUUUGUUGGCUAUUGCAUUGGAUCAAGGGGUUCCAGAUUUUAUUGUCCAUCUCAUACCACCAGGAUCAUUGAGUUAGACAGGGUUGUAUAUUUUGAAGAUGUGAGCUCUGUUGAUGAAAGAUCUAGUGGUAUCUGAAGUUUGAUAGUAUUAUCACCCAAAAUGACUUUAAAGAAAAUACAGUUGACAGAUGCAUAUAUUUGAGGGUUAGUGGGAGUAGUUACAUAUUUCUUGUUUUAUAUGUUGAUGAUAUACUACUCGCAUCAAAUGAUCCUGACUUGUUGAUUGAGACAAAGCACAUGUUGUCAACCCAUUUUGACAUGAAGGAUCUUGGUGAGGCUUCUUAUGUCUUGGGCAUAAAGAUUCUUCGUGAUAGGACUAAUGGAGUGCUUAAAUUGUCUCAAAGAGCCUAUAUUGAAAAGAUAUGAAGAGGUUCAAUAUGCACAACUGUAGUUUGAUAUUGCUUUUGUUGUGGGCAUGUUGGGAAGGUACUUGAGCAAUCCUGGGAGUCAACAUUGGAAUGCAGCUAAGAAGGUCCUUAGGUAUUUGCAAGGAACUAAGGACUUAAUGUUGACAUAUCAGCGCACCAGCUUACUUGAUGUAGUUGGGUUUUGUGAUGUUGAUUUUGCUGGUUGCAUAGAUGAUAAGAAAUCCACUACGGGCUAUAUUUUUAUGAUGGCAGGAGGAGCUGUAUCUUGGAAAAGUGUCAAGCAGACACUUACAACAUCCUCAACUAUGGAGGCAGAGUAUGUGGCAUGUUAUGAGGCUUGUUGUCAUGCUAUGUGGAUGCAGAAUUUUGUUUCAGCUUUAGGAGUUGUUGACUCCAUUUCUAGACCGCUGAAAUUAUUUUGUGAUAAUUCCGCAGCUGUUGCUUUCUCCAGUGAACAAUGAACAAAUAUAAUUAUGUGCAUAUCAAGGAUCAGGGUAAAUCAAUCACAUAUAGCUAAUGAAUCAAUCAAUCAGUCAAUCAAUCAUGAAGUCUCAUAUGUAGGGCCCCCACCAAAGCCCAUUUAUUUUUGCAUGAAUUAAUUCCAUAAAUUCCAUCAUUUGGAAUUACGGAAUUUGAUUUUUGCUUAUUUCAAAACAUUUUAAAAAAUAGAGGUGUGAAAAUUGCUUGCCAGAAAGAAAGAUGGAAGCCAGAUUUUAUUAAAAAUGGGAGGAUUUUUGGGAUCUAAACAUUUUAAGGAUGAAAAAUGGGGAAGUUGGGAUAGUUUGAGAAUUUGGAAUUUGGAAAAAACAUUUGAAAAUGGGGUUAGGAAAUUAUCUUUAAAAUAGCAAUAAUAAUAAUAAUAAUAAUAAUAAUAAUAAUAAUAAUAAUAAUAAUAAUAAUGAAAUGUAGAAAACCACAUGGUCAAGGGUUGCAUGCCAAAGGUGGCCAUGCAAGUCAUAGAUAAGGGUGGGUCCAGGUUGCCAUAGUUGGGUAUUGGAUAUGGACUUCAGAUCUUUCAUCCUUGGGUUGACUUUUCUGACUCUUCAUUCAAAACACCUGAUGUGGCAUCUCCUGCUUUGUUUCUAUCAGCAUCAUCUCAAGAUCGCAGGUGACUUUAGGAUUAAUCUCCUUCUCUAAAGGAAGCCUUUUAUUCGAUCUGCAAUAGCCGCCGGAGAUGGGAAGGCCUUUAGAGGAUUCAAGAUGACGCCAUCUGUAAAUCUGUACUCCUUGGCUUCUUUUGUGCUUAUGAAGAAACCACGAUCCGUGUUUUGGUUGAUCUUCUCGAAGCUUUGACCGAUGUGGUAGGAGAGAUACCCAAAGGAGGAUUUUGCUGCGUGUUCAUCCAUUGAACUAAGCUCAGGCCAUGGACUGCCUAGGGAUCUUUCAUGCAGACAUUUCCUUCUGAUGAUGUCAUAGUGAUGAGUUUGUCCACUGAGAAAACUUUUGGGAGGUCCAUCUUCAAAGGUCUCCUGGGUGCAAGCAACCGUGGAGUCGUCUAAGAAACUGCACUCAUCUGCGUUCAAGAAGCUCGACCUCUGAAGCCUCACUCUCCCUCACGGUGCUCGUCAUCCUUUGCCUUGAGAGGCUUCAUAACUUCCCAUGUGAAGUCGGGUCAUCUCUUUGAAAGUGCCCGUAUGCAGCCGUCUUCAAGAACCUGCCAUUGCCACCCCUCUUGAGAUCCAGGCUAAUGGCAAUCAUUCCAGGCCUGAAGUCAAAGCUCUCUUUCACAAUCUUGAGAAUCUCCUUGUCUGGCAUCUUUCCAGUGGCAUGCGUGUCAACAAAUACGGAUAAAGGCUCGGGCACACUAAUAGCAUAUGAGACCUACACGGUGCACCUGCGGGCAAGCCCAUUGUGGAGAUCUUUCUGUCAUCUGGACCUCUCUGUAUGCAUACAGAGAUAAAGGAACAGAAUUCUGCAGAAAAUUGAUCAACAGAUGCCAGAUGCAUAAGGCGGUGGCUGCUCAACAAUGACUUCCAUAAGUUCAUAAAAGCUGGUCCAUACUUCCCCUUACUCUGGUAGAGUUUCUCCAACUUUAGAAGCUCUACGAACCCAAGUUACUGAUUUCUUGCCAUAAAUCAACAAAAAGACGCUCCAAAAGCAGUGAACUAAGCCCAGAGCCAGUACCGCCACUAACAGCAUUGAAAACAAGGAAACCUUGGAGAUCAGUACAAUUGUCAGCCAGUUUUCGGAUCUGGUUCAAGCAUAGCACAAGAUCCAAAAACGAGAAUGUAACCACAACAGAGAAGAAACCAUGGAGGCAUAGCAUGAAAGAAAAUAGGUAAAAGUAUCUUCAAAAGGGGCUUCAAUGGUUGCUUGGCGUUCCGGUGAUGGCGGAGGCGCUUCGCCGCCGGCGGCAAGCCGCCGACGUCAUUCAAGGACAGCUUUGCUUGCUCUUUCCAUGAACCGGUUUCUGUGAUUUUCAAGUAUUGAAAGAAUAAUCCCUUGAGUGAUGGUGGUGAGAACAAUGUGGAAAUCUAGAGAGAGAAAUAGGUUUUGAAGCUGUAGUCCAAUGAGUAUAUGCAGAGGAGAUAUGUGACGUGGGUAUGGCAGAUAAUGGAGAGAAGGUGUUUUAGUGGUGUGGUCAGAUGGGUAUGAACAAACGAAGUGGUGAUAGAAUGAAUAGGAAAGCAUGCAUGUGGUUAGUAUGGGACAUGGGUAUGAAGGAGUGUGGGUAUCUAUGGAUGAUUGGGUAGAGUCUGUUAAAGGUGGGUCUGUGCAUGGGAUAAAAGAGAAAGGCGGGUCAGAACAGGGACUAUAUUUACAAUGGUGGGUAUGGUGUGGAAUCGGAAGUUGGAAGUUAGUGGAAUGAGUGGUAUGAAAUUCUAAAAGAUGCUUGAUGGGCAUUUUCGGUAUGAUGAUGAACCAUUCUGCAGCCUGACUUGUUGCCGACGUGAUUACUGCCAGUAUCUUGCCUCAGUGCCUCUGGGAUGCUAAAACUAGUGAAACCAGAAUAAAUACCCACAAUGCCCGAGUCACCAUUGAAUAGGAAAGCUUCUUUCAUAAAAUAUCCAUUCAUGCACAUUAUGUUUCCCUCAUUGGACCUUCAUUUCCACAACCAAAAACUCCAAAAUUUCCGCUACCGAAUCGCCAAUAAAGAGAGCCACUUCAACAGUAAAAUCAUUAGAUCUGAGAUACCCCGUGUCAAAUCCUGAAGUAAUAUCCUCACAUCUCUUGGUUGAGUUUAGGUAGUUCUUCAAGCGGAGAACAUAUUGCUUACUCCCCUAGGCAGAGGUGAGAAAACUAACAUGCCCCAUGGUCGGAGUACCAGGAACAAAGGAAAACAAACAAACAAAGCACCAAUAAUAGGAGCAAAACAAACUCAUACAAGUCUCAUUUCAUACAAUAAUCAAUGAGCUCAUAUCAGGGUGGAUGAAAUCAAACGAGCAUCAAAUAAAAGAUGGAACACGGUUACAGGAAUGUUUCAUGAAGAAAUCAAAACAGGAGCAAACCAAACUACAGGAAAAUCAUUAGCAAAACAUGAACAUGCCCACCCCCAAUCAAUAAACAUCAUCCAAAAUCAACAGAAACAGAACAGAAAAGUAUACCAGUAGAAGCUAAUAGGGAAACCACAAUGACAGUACCUGAAAAUGCUUCUCUUCAGCAACAAAUCUCUAGAAUCUCUGUCAAAACCAUGCUCUCUCGUUCUUCUCCAGAAACUUCCUCUGUUUCUUUUGCUCCUUCUCUCUAAAGCUCUCUGCUCCAGCUUGCUCCUCCUCUCUCCCCCCAGAAAACUCCUCUGUUUUUCUCCUCUUCCUCAAAAGCACUCUGGAAUCCUCUCUAUCCCCCUCCACCAAGCAAAGGAUCCUCCCAAAAUAUCUCCAGGCCGCUCCUAACGGCCUCACACAGCUGCCCUUCUCCCCUGCCGCUGCCAGACGACACCUCCCCAUAACAGAAAACCUUUUUCCCUUCUAGAAGAUUCUUUCCCUUUACAGGUGUCUUCCCUUGAUUAGUCCAUCAAUUCCACUAUAGUGAUCCCAUAUUGACUAAUCCGGGAGUGACAUGUGGCCAGAAUGAGCUGCAUGAAAUAGCACCCAAAUAGGGGUCUAUAGUAAGAUUCUAACCCCUAGUUUAAUAUUUUAGAUUCAUUGAUUAAUUUCAAACACAUUAGAUAUAUUUUUUUUGGAAAACCCCAAAUCUAGAUUAGGGUUAGAUUAUUUUUUAAUUCGUUUUAAUAUCAAAUAGUGAAAAUUUAAUAUUUUGAUUUUAGCAUUGGAAUUUGGGAGAUCUUAAGUUUUAUUAGAAAAAAAAAAAUUCUUGGAAUAUUUCGAUUUUAGGUUAGGGUUAAUUAAAAAAAAAAAAAAGAAAAAAAAAAACGCGUGUGCACAGCGCUGGAAGGAAGAAAAAUAAAAAUAAAAAAUGGGGGGCGUACCGUGUACUGUGUUACUGGAAGCAUGGAACCAAGAAAAAAGAAAAAAAAAAAAACAAAAAAAACAAAAGGUGCGUGUGCCAGCCUGCCAAGAAGCCCCUUAUAUAUAUAUAUAUAUAUAUAUAUAUAUAAUGAAUAUGAUGAUGGCAAUGGAAAAAAAAAAACUUGCUUUUUGGUUUGGUGGUUUGGUGUACCCGAGACAACUAGGUAAUGGUUUAGUGGCUUUUGAAUUGGUUAAUUUAAAAUAAUAAUAUUUAGUUUUAGAUUAAUGAAUAAGAUAAUAGUAAUAAUGGUUUUUUUUUUUUUAAAUAGAAUGAGAGAUUUAGCAAAAUAUAUAUAUAUAUAUAUAUAUAGAAUUUUAUAAUGAAAUAAAAUUGUAAUUUAAUUAAAUUAGUAAUGUGUUAUUAGAAACAAAUUGGGAAUUUAUUAGUUUUAUUUAAAUAAGGAAUGAAUUAGUUAAAUUAUAAAUAAAUAGUAAUAAUUGUUUCUCUUAUGUUAUAUUAGGUGAAGAGUAGAUUAUAUUUUUUUCAGAAUUAUUCUUCUCCCAAGCUUUCAAGGACAUCUUUUGAGGUAAGGGAAGUUAAUGCAAUAUUUAUAAAAUUAAAUUAUUUCAUAUGUUAUUUUGAAUUGUGGAAAAGAAAAUGAUAUUUUGUUACCAUGCAUGGAUCAAAUUGUUUUGCACUAAAUGUUAUGUUGGAAUAUUUUGUUUUAUUUAUGACACAAAAUGUGGAGAUAUUAUGUUGUGUAAAUUUGAAUACUCGAACAAAAACAUUACUCUGGUUUAUUUGGCCCUUGUCAACGGGAUAUAAUAGUUGACUAUUCGGCCCUGUCAACGGGAUAUAAUAGUUGACCUUUACAUUUCAUGGUGGAAAUGUAAUUGAUUUGGACCCCAACCUCUAGGGGUUUGGUUAGAGGUUACUAGUACUAGUAGUGUUUGGUUCCGUCCACCAGGAACAAUUUGAGGCUAGCCACCCAUUUGAAAAGUCCCACCUAAUUGGGCAUUUGAUAUUUGAUAACCAGAGUAAUGAAACUUGAAUGAAUUUGAUAUGAAAUUGGUUGGUUGAAUUUUGAAUAUAUUGGUAUUUUUGGAACUCUGAUAUUUGAUGAGAGAAAAAAAAAUUGAUAUCUCCUAUUUGAAAUGAAAAUAUUUGAUCCAUGAAUUGCAUUAAUAUUCCUUAUUAGGCUGUGAGCUCAUUCCCAAUUGUUGAAAAGUUUUCAGGUACUCUUAGUUCGGGUGAGGAGUGAUGGCUAGGCUGAGGAAUGGUCAUCAUUAGGAUUUGACUUAGGAUUUUAUGUUGGAUUUUGUUUAACUAUUAGUUAUGUUUAUUUGGAUCUUUUGGUAUUUGGAAGUUAUUUGGAAAUUGAAUUUUGAGGAUUUUAGAUUUUGUUUCGCUACUCUGAACAGGUAUUUGGUAAUUGGUAACAUCCAGUUACAAUAUGAUUGUUUGGGUCAGAUUAUACUUUAAGCCUUCGGGUUUGAGGUGUGAAAUGACCGUCACGCCCUUGGAGUGGGUCUUGGGGCGUGACAGUCAAAGUUGAAUGAAAAUUAUUCCACAUGAUACAGAGCAUAGCAUAGACUUGGUCCCCCUGUCAUCGUAUCUCCAUAUCCAGGACAAUUUGAUUACUUAUCCCGGAAGUAUCAUCCAGAAGACUCCAGGGUUUAUCACCAAUACAUCACAUGCACCCAUAAUUUUCUUCGGCGGACGUAGGCAGAACAGGUUUAUCAUCUCUGUAUGCAUGAUUUUCUUCGACAACCGCGUAGUUGGAGGUCUUUUUUUAAGUCUUCUUUCACUUCUAUAUAAGAACAGAGCAUCACAUGGUUAUCAAAACACCAUUCUCUACCUCUCUCUCAGACCAUGAAACUCCACUGCUCAUGGAUGGUGGUACUGGCCACACUAUGUGUAGCUCCGCUGUGCUUCGCGAUGGAGCCCGUCUCCGAGUCGGAUAAACUCGGAAGCUUGCCUGGACAACCACAUGUCAGCUUCCAACAGUUUGGUGGAUACGUAACCAUUGAUGAAAAGCAAGGCAGAGCUCUUUUUUACUACUUUGUUGAAGCAGUAACUGAUCCUACUGCCUCAAAGCCUCUUGUUCUCUGGUUAACUGGAGGUAAUUAGUAUCAAAUUCUUCUUCUCUGGCAUCUUAUUAAGGUAAGUAGAUAAAGUUAGAAUCAUUUCAUUCUUGGUCUCUGAGUAGUGGAAUUUAUUUUGUAGGACCUGGUUGUUCGUCCCUAGGAGGGGGGGCUUUCAUGGAACAUGGCCCUUUUAGGCCCCGCGGGAACACUCUGUUCAGGAAUAAGCAUAGCUGGAACAGAGGUGUGUUGUAGAUUUUGGACAAAGUUGUUUUCAAUUUCAAUCAAGUGUGAUAGAAUUUAUUAGUAUUUAGGGCACUUUGCUCAAUUUUUCUCGACUAUGAUAUUAAUUAAAUUACUAAAAUGAUGAAAUUUACCUCUGAAAUUCUUCUGUCACAGAGGCAAAUAUGUUGUAUGUGGAGUCACCAGCUGGAGUUGGGUUUUCUUAUUCUCGUAAUAAGUCCUUCUAUGAUGAUAUAAAUGAUGAAGUCACAGGUUCAUUUUUUAUCCCCUUUUGUCAAUGAUUUCAACUAAAGUUGCUUAACAUUUGUCUUCAAACGUACUGAUAUUUGGAUGUUUUUCUUAAGCACGAGACAAUCUCGCAUUCUUGGAGGGCUGGUUCAUGAAAUUUCCGAAGUACAGGAACAGAGAAUUAUUCAUUACAGGGGAGAGUUAUGCAGGUAAUUUUAGUGAAGACCUGUUAUUCAGGUUAAGACAAUCAUUUGAAUUCAUGGUGGAUUCAUCAAUUUUUAUUUUCUCUUCCUAUUUUAAUUGAAGGUCUCCUUUUAAUUUUAUGUUAGGUCACUACGUUCCGCAACUUGCACAGCUCGUUAUUAAUUCCGGCAAGAAUUUCAAUUUGAAAGGAAUCCUUGUGAGUAGAGGAAAAAGAAAAUUUGCAUUAAGUACACAUUCUUAAAAUAAAUGGUUGGGCUAAAACUGAUAAUUGAGCUCGAUUUGAUGGCUGAAUGCAGAUUGGAAAUCCUCUUCUAGAAUUCGAUACUGAUAUAAAUGCCCAAGGAGACUUUUUCUGGUCCCAUGGAUUGAUUUCAGAUUCUACACAUGCACUUCUCACGUCCACCUGCAACUAUUCCCAAAUUAUGCGAUGGGUUUAUAAUAUCAGCGAGUCUCUGUCGCCCGAGUGUUACGAGGUAUAUAACAAAUCUGCGGGAGAAAUUGGUGGAUCAGUUGACCCAUUUGAUGUUCUUGGGGACAUAUGUUUAUCAUCGGUAAGGUUUCAUUUCUUCAAUCCAGUUGGUGGGCAGAGGGAAGGAGAAAAAAAAAGACUUGUUUGUACUUGACUUUGAUGGUAAUAUUUGGGUUUGACUCAUGCAGGAAGAGGUCUGCCUAACAGAUGAAGUGGACGUGUAUCUAAACAGGAAAGAUGUGCAGAAGUCUCUCCAUGCCCAGCUUGUGGGCACGCCCAACUGGACUUUAUGCUAUCCGUAAGGAUUCCACACAUUUCCAAUUUACUCUAUGGACGGGUUUACUUUAUUUAAGGGGAAAGGAAAGGAAGGGAAUCAUUCCAUUUCCUCUCUCCUCAUCCGUGGGAAAUCGAUUUCGAUUCCGGAUUUCUUGGAUCUGUUGUUUUAACAUUGUUCUGUAUUGCAGGGAUAGUGCCCACUUCUUGAGAGACGCUGUGAUUCCAUCUAUUAAUGUUGUGGAAUGGCUUGUUUGGUCUGGGAUCCGCGCCUCUGUUUACAGGUAGGUUCCAUUCGUCUGAUGAUAUGACAUCUGGAAAUGUUGGGUUUUUAUUUACAAUUACGAAAAUAACAAUUAAAAUUGCAGCGGAGAUCAAGAUUCAAGGAUCUCCCUAAUUGGAACCAGGUCUUUACUGGAGGGAUUGGCAAAGAAGCUGAAGCUGAAAACAACCGUGCCUUACAGAAAUUGGUUCGAGAAGAAACAGGUUCACAUAUGAUCAUUCCACAUACUAAUUGAAAUUGAAGGUGAGACAAAUUAAAAAUAAGUGACCGUAAUGACCAUGUUUUCCACUUUUCCUUUCUUCUUCAGGUGGGUGGGUGGACGCAAGUGUACGGUGAUAUCCUAUCUUUUGCGACCAUCAGAGGAGGUUCUCACACAGCACCCAUAUCACAACCGACGAGAUCACUGGCGCUGUUUACGGCAUUUCUAGAAGGAAAGCCCCUCCCAGAUGCAUGAAACUCAUCAAUUUCAUGGUUGAAUAAAUAAGUUGGAGGGGAGGGUGUUUUAUCUCGCCAGCAAAUGUCACAUCCUCUGUGUAUGGAUGUGUUCCAUUUAUAUACAUAUAGUGGAAAAAUAAUUGUAUCAUGUAAUUUGAAUUUGGGUGUAAAAGUUUUAAUAGUCUACACGAAGGUGCAAAAAUUUGUGAUUUAGUCAUUUUUUAAUAAUAAAAGAAGUAAUGAUUUUUUUUUUUACUAUGAAAAUAAUAAAUUUAAAUCAUUGGUGGGAUGCAAGUUAAUUUAAUUUUUCAUUUAUUUUUUACUUGCAUGAUUCACUUAUUGAGGAGAAUAAAAGGAAAAAUUACUCAGUUAUGCAUGAUUUUCGUAUUUCAUACCUUUGAAAUAUUACAAUUUUUUAUUUUUAUUUUUUCUGAUAACCAAAACCAUAGACAUAAAAAAAAAUAAAACUAAAAUUUUAAUGUAAUUUGACACUCAAUAUAAUAUCUACAUCUAUAAAGUGCAUCAACACUUCAAAAUUCACUAAUCAAAAGAAAAGUUACAACUUAAAACAACAUUUCAAUUGCGGUUGCAUUUACUAAAAAAACCCUAAAAAUUGAUACGAUUUAGUCACUAUCAUUUUUUCAAGUAAUAAAAAUUAUACGAUAUAAUUAUUCUUGUUUUGUAUGUAGGAAAGAAAAUACAAUUUAGUUAUUAUUACUGAAAAUUUUGUGGAAAUAUUAUGUAGUUUAGUUAUUAUUUUUUGAAAAAUAGUAAAAAAAAAAAAGGAAAUAUUUAUUUAAAUAAAAUUUUGAUGAAGUCUAUUCUUCUUGUAUUUUCCAUUUUUUAAAAUUCUUUUAUAUAUUUAUUAAUUAUGAAUCUCCUUUUCCCCUUUAAAAACCUUUCAAAGAACUUUAAAGAUCUUGGAGAAAUUUGAAAACCUUCUAACAAAGGAUUUGAACCUCCCGUGGUCCUCUUCUCUUAAUUGAGAAUUUAGGAUUUCCCUAGUUCAUAAAGAUUGAGGGGAUUUUCUAUUGUCUUAGGUUAUGUUUGGUUCUUAGAAGGUUUAAAAACAAAUACAAGAGAAAAAAAAAAAAUGAAAGAUAGAAGAAAAUGUAAGAAAACAGAGUAGAACAGAGUGUUUUUGGAAUCUGGAAAUCUGGUGUGUAUUCCAUUAAUCAACUUAAAGGAAGAAGAUGCAUAUAUACAAAGUAUUGGUUAGCCUAUUCUAGGAAUCUAUGUGCAAAUGUAUCAGUUACAAUCAAUCAAAAAUAAUCUUCUAUAUACAAUCAAAUAUCAUCCUCAAAUUACGGGAUCCUUGAUUCCUUUCCCAUAAUACUCUCCCUCAAGUUGGAGUGUGUAUGUCAAGAACGCCAAACUUGUUGAGAAGGGAAUGAAAAAUUGAUGAAUUGAGUGGCUUAGUGAACAAAUCAGCAAGCUGGCAAGACGAUGGAACAUGAGCAGUUACUAUGGCACCUGAUUGAAUUCGUUCUCGAACAACAUGACAAUUGAUUUCUAUAUGCUUGGUACGUUCAUGGUGAACUGGAUUAGCAGCAAUAUGGAGUGCUGCUUUACUAUCACAGAAUAGUUUGGCAGGUUGUGAGUGUUCUACCUUCAAGUCAUCCAACAAAUACUUGAGCCAUGUAAGUUCACAUGUAAUGGAAGCCAUUGCUCGAUAUUCUGAUUCAACUGAUGACCUUGACACUGUUGUAUGUUUCUUGGUUUUCCAUGAAAUGAGAGUUCCUCCAAGAAAAAUACAAUAUCUAGUCACAGAUCGUCUUGUGAUCGAACAUCGAGCCCAAUUUGCAUCACAAAAUCCUCUUAGUAGCAAAUUUCCUUUUGCAGGAAAAUAUAAUCCUUGUCCAGGUGCACCUUUAAGAUAUCGCAGAAGAUGAUGAACAACAUCCAAAUGAGGCUUUCUUGGUUCUUGCAUAAACUGGCUUAAAAUGUGAACUGAAUAACUUAUCUCUGGCCUUGUAAUGGUAAGAUAAAUGAGUUGUUCGACCAAUCUUCUGUAAGUGGAUGGAUUCUUCAAUAAAUCUCCUACUGUGGGCAGGAGUUUAUUAUUUUCUUCCAUAGGUGUCGACAAUGGUUUGGCCCCAAGCAAGCCUGCUUCAUCUAAAAUAUCAAGAGUGUAUUUUCGUUGGGAUAUUGAAAUACCAUCAGUAGAACGAGCAACUUCAAUACCAAGGAAAUAUCGUAAUUGACUGAGGUCCUUGAUGCGAAAUUUGGUGUGGAGAGACUCCUUAAGAGCUGUAAUUACAUUCUCAUCAUUGCUAGUGAUGAUCAUGUCAUCUACAUAGAUGAGCACAGCUGUGAAAGAAUUACCAGAGAUCUUUGUGAAAAGUGAAUAAUCAACCCUUGAUUGAUAGAAACCAUCUUGUUGAAUGGUGGCAGAAAAUUUCUAAAACCAUCUACGGGAGGCUUGUUUAAGUCCAUAUAAUGACUUGUUGAGUCGACAUACCAUAGGUGUCUCCCCUUGUCGACGAAAUCCAGGCGGCAAUUGCAUAUAGACUUCUUCAAGUAAAUCACCAUGGAGAAAGGCAUUUUGAACAUCCAUUUGGUGAAGUGACCAAUGUUGGACAACAGCUAUAGCAAGUAAACAUCGAACUGUAGUUAACUUAGCCACAGGAGAAAAGGUCUCCUUAUAGUCAAUCCCUUCGCGUUGAGUGAAGCCUUUCGCCACCAACCGAGCUUUGUAUCGCUCAACUGUGCCAUCAGAGUUAUAUUUGAUCUUAUACACCCAUUUGCACCCAAUUGGACGAUGACCGAAAGGGAGAGGUGUGAGUGUCCAAGUGUGAUUUUGUUCAAGAGCAUGGAGUUCUGCAACCAUAGCUUACUGCCAUUUUGGAUCCAAUACUGCCUGUUCAUAAGUUGUAGGUUCCACAAGAGUGGUGAUGGCACAAACAAAAUUCUGAUAUUUUGGUGAGAGUUGUGCAUAAGAAAUAUACCGAGUCAAAGGGUGACACGUACCUGACAAGAAAGAAGAUUGGUUGGAAGCAACCUUGGCGGUGUGGUAGAGAUGAAAAUUCCGGAGUUGGACAUUUGGUUGCUUGAUGCGGUCAGAACGACGAGUAAUAGGAGGUGGAGGUGACACAAUGGUGUCAAGAUCAAGUGUACGUUCAUUAGAGAUAGACUCAAGAGAUGAAAGCAAGGGUGUUGGCUAAUCAUCGGCUUGUGGUUUGGUUGUCUCUGUGGUUAUGGGUUCAUAUGAGGUUUGUGGUAAAGGGAGAAUGACCACAUCAUUUUGUUCUUCUUGUGGAUUAGUGUGGAACGGAAAUAUGUGUUCAUGAAAGACAACAUCUCAGGAAGAAAAGAAUUUAUUAGUUUCAAGAUCAUAAACCCGAUAACCCUUUUGACCAAGAGGAUAACCAACAAAUAUGCAACGAUGAGCUCUUUGAUCAAAUUUAUGUGUGGGAAAGAGAUUGGUGGCAUAACAAAGACAUCCAAAAGUUCGUAGAUGAUGAUAUGAAGGUAGCUUGUUAUAGAGAAGUUGGUAUGGUGAUUUGUGAGAAAGAAGGGGUGUAGGUAAGAGAUUGAUUAAAUAGCAAGCCGUUUGAAUACUUUCCCCCUAAAAUUUUAACGGCAAGUUUGCUUGAAAACGAAGAGCUCUUCCCACAUUUAAAAGGUGAUGAUGUUUCCUCUCAACCCCCCUAUUUUGUUGUGGGGUGUAAGCACAUGAAUGAUGGUAAUUGAUCCCCUUAGUAUCCAAAUACUGUUUCAUAGAGGAAAUUUCAGUCCCAUUAUCGGUUCGAAGAGUUUUAAUGCAACGAUUAAAUUGGGUUUCCACCCAAGAAAUGAAAGAUUGCAAUAUCCUUUGUGUUUCAGAUUUAAAACUCAUGAGAUGUAUCCAAGUAUAUCGAGUAUGAUCAUCAACAAUUGUUAGGAAAUAACGAGCCCUAGAGUGAGAAUUUAUUCGAUGUGGUCCCCAAAUAUCACAAUGUAUCAAAUCAAAAGGUGCGUGAGAAGAAAUGAAACUAGAUGGAAAUGACAAACGAGUUUGUUUGGCUAAAGGGCAAAUAUCACAAACAUGCUUGGAAUCAAAAUAAAUUUCAGGAUUAAGUUUAGCAAGAACUUGAAGAGGACCGGAUGAUGGGUGCCCAAGAUGUUGAUGCCAAAGAUCAAAAUGUUUGUCAAUGGCGUAAGCCAAGGCUGGAUUUUGGUCUUGUGCGAGAUAGUAGAGGCCAUUAUGUUGCUUGCCCAGGCCAAUCGUCUUCCUCAUAGUAGCGUCCUGCACAACACAAAAAUCGGAAAAGAACAUCACUAUACAUUGUAAUGCCCACGUUAGUUUACUAACUGAUAGUAAAUUAACUUGAAAUUGUGGAAAUUUGAGCACGUCAUCAAGUUUAAUGUGGGGGGUAACAUGCAAUGAACCAAUUGACUCAAUAUGUGCUUGACCAGCAUCUAGCAAACUAAUGGUAGUGGUUUUGGGCAAAAUUUUCGGAUCUAAUAAUUCAGCUGAGGAAGUCACAUGAUCCGUGGCUCCACUAUCAAUAAUCCAACACAUAUUUGAGUGUGGGCAAUUCGGAAUAAUUUUGGAUGAUGGCAUAUUUAUACCUGUGGCAUUUGCAAAAUGUUGUGAAUUACCACCAUUGUUUUUUCGAAUCAUAGCCAUCAAUUGGUUAUAUUCCUCAGUUGUGAGCCUUGGUCCAUCAUUUUUUGGAAGAAGUUUUGCUUCUAUCUCCACAGCCUUAUUUGUUUCCACUUUCACAUUGUUUGCAUUUGAGUGACGUUGAUUGGGAGGCUUCAUGUUCUUCCCAUGAAGCUUGUGGCCAAUCGGAAAGCCAUGUAGGUAGUAACACUUCUCAAUGCUGUGAUAAUCACGGUCACAAUAAGAGCAGUGCAGUGGAGUCUUUUGUUUUUGAACUUGGUGUGCUGAAGUCGCCUUAUUGUCCCGAUCUGCAAGCAUGGCAUAAUGGUUCUUGUUCCCAUUAUUGAGAGAAACUUCAACCUGUUUUUCUUGUUGAAGGACAAGUGAGUAAACUCGGCGUGUAUCGGGUAGAGGUUGCAUCAAUAAGAUUUGUCCACGAAUGGCAGCAUAACUAUCAUUCAAUCCCAUGAGAAAUUGCAUAACUCUCUCUUUUUCAUCCCUUUCCUUAAGUUUCUCUAAUCCUCCACAAGAGCAGGAUAACACUUCAUGAUAGGAUGAAAGUUCAUCCUAAAAAGCUUUAAGCUUUGUGUAAUAAACCGAAAUUGAUUGCUGCCCCUGCCUAUGUUCCACAAUAUCUCGCUUGAUCUGAUAAAUUCUUGAAUCGUUUCCUUGCGAAAAACGUUCUCGCAGAUCUGCCCAGAUUUCUGAUGCUGUUUCGGCAUAAAUCACACUACUGGCUAUGUCUGGAUGAAUGGAAUUCAAUAACCAUGAGAUCACCAUAUUAUUGCAAUGUUGCCAAGAAGGAAAACUAUCAUCAGUCGAAGAGGGUGGCUUAAUGGAACCUGUGACGAAUCCAAUUUUGUCUUUAGCACUCAAACUAAUCCUCAUAGCCCGACUCCAUGUGUUGUAGUUAUCUCCUUCAAGUACUUUGGAGACAAGUACCAUACCCGGGUGGUCCAAGUGGUGUAGAGAGAAGCGAUCUAAAGCUUCUGUGGUAGCCUUAGAUGAUGUCAAUCCCGUUUUGUUGAUGUCCAUGGCAGCUAUAACAAGGAAAUAAGUUGCGGAAGCGCUUGGAAGAAUUUAGAGUCACCAGGUUUGGUGCUCUGAUACCAUGUAAGAAAACAGAGCAGAACAGAGUGUUUUUGGAAUCUGGAAAUCUGGUGUGUAUUCCAUUAAUCAACUUAAGGGAAGAAGAUGCAUAUAUACAAAGUAUUGGUUAGCCUAUUCUAGGAAUCUAUGUGCAAACGUAUCAGUUACAAUCAAUAAAAAAUAAUCUUCUAUAUACAAUCAAAUAUCAUCCUCAAAUUACUGGAUCCUUGAUUCCUUUCCCAUAAUAGAAAAGAAAAAAAAAAUUAAAUUUAAAAUAAAUAAAUUAUUAUUAUAUAUUACUUCAAACUUUUUUCAUAAAUUUAACUCUUCUAUUCUUAAUAAUUUUAAUGAUUUUUAACUUUCUUUUGCAUUUUAUAGUAAAAUCAAAUAUGAGAAAAUAAUUUUAUUUAACAUUUUUUUUUUCUUUUUCUACUGUUUUGAAAAACCAAACAUAACCUUAAAAUUUAAAUUUAUUUCUCAAAAUUGAUAAUUAUUAUUUUAGUUAUUAAUUUAAUAUUUUUAUCUAUUCUAAUCCUCUAAUUUUAAUUGUUCAAAAUCUAUUUCUUAAUUUAUGUUUCUUAAUUUAUGGACCCAUACAAUAUUAUUUUAUUUAUCAAAAACUCGUCUUGUCAACAUAAGCUUAAAUAACUUUUUUUUUCUAUAAUAAAAACAUAUUAUUUCAGAAUGAUGUUUUAUGUGUUAUUACUUUAAAUAAAAUUUCUACUACUAACCACGUAAUAAGCAAAUAAUUAGGGUUAAUUAAAAAUAAUUUUAUUUAUUAAAUAUAUAAAAAUUUAUAUUUACUAAUCAAGUAUAAGAUCAUAAAAAUGAAAUAAUUAAAAUUUUUAAAAUGUCAAACACUUUGUAGUAUUAAAAAUUUUCAAAUAUUAUAAUGGUUAAAAACGGUUUCUAAAAUGACCAUAAAAUGGAAUCUAAAUCUAUUUUAUGAAAGUCCUACAAUAUAAACAAAAUAUAUAAAAGAAAAAUAAUACAAAACAAAAUUUUUAUUAAAAUUAAUAAAUUAUGUGAUACAAUCUUUGUAAUAAUAUUUUUUUGUAAAAGAAUAUAUUUCUCUAAUUCUUUUAACUUGAUCAUAACUUGAAAGAUGACAAUGAAAAUGUUUCUUUGAUCUGAGAGAACAAUCAAUGAUCAUUAAUAACUUGAUUUGGAAUGAACUCGUUUAAAAGCAAAGAUCGCAUAUGAAAUACUUAUGUCAUCUCUUUAACUUGCAAGGAGAUUUCAUUAAGGAAAUUUGUUAAUAAAAAAAUAUUUAUUUAUUUUCAUUAAAAUACUUGUUCAAUUUUAAUAUAGUAUUUUCCCAUAUAUUACCUUUUUAAUACAUGUGACGUUUCAAAAUAGUACUUAUUAUUAAUCCCAAAUUUUAUCCAAAGCCACGUUUUUUUUUAACAUCUUUUUAAUAAUAAUUUAUUUCACCGAAAAUUUGGAUCUAUGACAACUUUCUUCCUUCAAAUUAGAUUCCUUUCUCCUCGGGAUCUGAAUACACGAUGGGACGUGUCUUUUAAAUAGUACAACCAGGAACGUGUCGACUGAAAUUGUAUGCUUGGAUCAGUGAGUUUCUUUUCUCACUGGAAAGUAGAAGGAGGACAACCUUGGCGUCACUCAUGACGUCCAAAGAAACACCACUCCAACUAUAUCUGCGUUCAUACAAGGUACCUUUUUCAACGCAUGGAAAUUGUGCCCUUCCUAUAAUAAAUUGGAGAAUCAAGCUGUCUCCAUAGCUUCUCUUUCUCUCUCGGCAACCAUGCAAACCCAGUCUUGGAUGAUGAUCCUGGCUGCAGUAUGCGCAGCUCUGGUUCACUUCUGUUCAUCAGCAGUGGAGUCCCACUCUGCCCAGGCUGAUCAAAUCAGUAGUUUGCCGGGACAACCCCGAGUCAGCUUUCAACAAUUUUCGGGAUACAUAACCAUAGAUGAAAAGCAGGACAGAUCUUUCUUUUACUACUUUGUUGAAGCGGAAAAUGACACAACUACUUUGAAGCCUCUGGUUGUCUGGUUCAGUGGAGGUAAAAUUUAUGCUUUAAAUUAACUGUAGCUGCUAAAGUUAGAAUCAUUUCUGAGUUUUUAACAGAUCUAGCAUUAAUUUUAUCUUUUUCCUUAUAUAGGACCUGGUUGCUCCUCCGUGGGAGGUGGAGCUUUCGCCCAACAUGGCCCUUUUAGACCCAGUGGAGAUAUCCUACUCACCAAUAAAUACAGUUGGAACAGAGGCACGCCACAAAAUACUUUUCUCUCCUUUUUUAUUUUGUAGGAGGGUGCUACUUGGCUGUAGUCAUGGAAAGGAAAAUGACCCCAAAAGGGGCCGUAGUCAAGUAAUGAACUUCAUAUUUUUUUAUUUCUUUAUGUUACAGAAGCAAACAUGUUAUAUCCGGAGUCACCUGCUGGAACUGGAUUCUCUUAUUCUGCUAAUACGUCCUUCUACACCAACCUAAAUGAUGAGAUUACAGGUUUUUUUUUCCUUUUAAAAUUUCAUCAAGAAUUUAACUAGCGGUUACUGAGAAUUGGUUUCAAUCUGAUACAUUUUUCUAACUGAUUAAGGGUCUGCUUUUCUUUAUUAGCACGAGACAAUCUCGUCUUCUUGAAGAAUUGGUUCAUCAAAUUCCCACAAUACAAGAACAGCGAAUUGUUCAUAGCUGGAGAGAGUUAUGCUGGUAUGCUGUAACAUAAUAAAGAAUAUUCACAAGUCUCUUCCCCACGUUAACCAAAAUUUUGUCCUUUGAUUUCAAGCGCUCUGAUCAAACAUGAUUUUUUUUUUUUUGCUUCAAUCCUCUGAUUGAUUUAUUCUUUUUUCAGGUCACUUUGUUCCACAACUUGCCCAACUCAUUCUUGAGUCCCGCGUGAAGUUCAAUUUGAAAGGAAUCCUUGUGAGUUGAGGCAGAGAAAAAUCCGGAUUAGUUUUUCUUCUAGGAUUGGACUGAAAUUAAUGUUAGGACUUAAUUUUAAUAUUGCAGAUGGGAGAUCCUCUUAUGGAUUUCGAUACUAAUUACAACUCAGUCCCACAUUUCUACUGGUCCCAUGGCUUGAUAUCAGAUUCUACUUACAAUCUUUUCUCUUCCAAGUGCAAUUAUUCUCGAAUGAACAGAGAGCAGACAUCUGGUUCUUUAUCACCUGCUUGUUUAGCUGUACGAAGCCAAUAUUCACAAGAAGUUGGUGACUCUGUUGACCGGUUUGAUGUCACUCUUAACUCCUGCUUACCAUCUGUUGAUCCACAACCGGUGAGGUUAACAUUAUCUCAAUAGUGCUCCACCAUUAAAAUACACUGCAAUUAAUUUCAUCACCAUGAUAAUUUACUUUUUUUAGUAGGAAUUUGCACAAUUUUGCUUUAGUUUGUACAUGACUUUGCUUUCGGCCUAUGCAGCAAGUCACAGAGAAUGUGGAUGUUUGUAUAGGAGACGAAGUAAACAAGUAUUUGAAUAGGGAAGAUGUGCAGAAGUCUCUCCAUGCUAGACUAGUUGGAGUCGCCAACUGGAGUAUGUGCAGCGGGUAAAAUUCAAUCUGGACCUCUACUACAUAACCAACUUUUUUUCUAGCAUCCAUAUUUGCUUUUUCUUUUUCUCUUACCUUUUGCUUUUUAAAAUUGCGAUUUCAUGGAUAUAAAUUGUUUUUUUUUUAAUCUCCAUGUUACAGUGCUCUUAGAUACAAUAUAAAAGACAAAGAGAUAACCAUGAUUCCUGUCAUGGGCUCCCUUGUCAAGUCUGGUAUCCGGACCUUUGUUUACAGGUAAUGUUACAUGAUACAUACGGGCGCUAUUUUUUUUCAUUAUGAUUCAAAAUAGUGAUAGUGAUACUUAAAAACCUCUACAGUGGAGAUCAAGAUUCAGUAAUCCCACUAUUUGGAACUCGGACUCUGGUGGAUGGAUUGGCGAAGGAGUUGAGACUGAAUACAACUGUGCCUUACAGAAAUUGGUUUGAGGGAGAACAGGUCGGCUUCUAUACAUGAAUAUGAGAUUAACUUCAUAAAUCACUUCAAGUUUCAACUGCUUAACUAA
rnacentral:lncRNA from 1 species